rnacentral:rRNA from 1 species
UAGGGAAUUUUCGUCAAUGGGCGCAAGCCUGAACGAGCAAUGCCGCGUGAACGAGGAAGGUCUUCGGAUCGUAAAGUUCUGUUGAAGGGGGAAAAAAGAGCGGAGAGAGGAAAUGGUCUCCGAUUGAUAUCCU